rnacentral:rRNA from 1 species
AAGCGUGCGCAGGCGGUUUGUAAGACUGUCGUGAAAUCCCCGGGCUCAACCUGGGAAUGGCGAUGGUGACUGCAAGGCUAGAGUUUGGCGAGAGGGGGGUAGAAUUCCACGUGUAGCAGUGAAAUGCGUAGAUAUGUGGAGGAACACCGAUGGCGAAGGCCAGCCCCCUGGGUCAAAACUGACGCUCAUGCACGAAAGCGUGGGGAGCAAACAGGAUUAGAUACCCGAGU